GACGAACGCUGGCGGCGUGCUUAACACAUGCAAGUCGAGCGGAAAACUUCGGUUUUCAGCGGCGGACGGGUGAGUAACACGUGGGCAACCUGCCUCACAAUGAGGGAUAGCCUUCCGAAAGGAAGAUUAAUACCUCAUAACACAAGAGAAACGCAUGUUUCUCUUGCCAAAGAAUUUCGUUGUGAGAUGGGCCCGCGGCGCAUUAGCUUGUUGGUGAGGUGACGGCUCACCAAGGCUUCGAUGCGUAGCCGACCUGAGAGGGUGAUCGGCCACAUUGGAACUGAGACACGGUCCAGACUCCUACGGGAGGCAGCAGUGGGGAAUAUUGCACAAUGGAGGAAACUCUGAUGCAGCAACGCCGCGUGAGUGAUGAAGGUCUUCGGAUUGUAAAACUCUGUCUUCUGGGACGAUAAUGACGGUACCAGAGGAGGAAGCCACGGCUAACUACGUGCCAGCCGCCGCGGUAA
rnacentral:rRNA from 1 species